rnacentral:rRNA from 1 species
GUGUCAGCAGCCGCGGUAAUACGUAGGGUGCGAGCGUUAAUCGGAAUUACUGGGCGUAAAGCGUGCGCAGGCGGUUUUGUAAGACAGGCGUGAAAUCCCCGAGCUUAACUUGGGAAUGGCGCUUGUGACUGCAAGGCUAGAGUAUGUCAGAGGGGGGUAGAAUUCCACGUGUAGCAGUGAAAUGCGUAGAGAUGUGGAGGAAUACCGAUGGCGAAGGCAGCCCCCUGGGACGUCACUGACGCUCAUGCACGAAAGCGUGGGGAGCAAACAGGAUUAGAUACCCUGGUAGUCC